GUCUUCAUAUCUCAGUGGUUAGAGUGUCGGGCUUGUGAACCGAAGAUCAUGAUUUCGAAUCCGCUUGGAGCUU
rnacentral:tRNA from 1 species